rnacentral:rRNA from 1 species
GAGUUUGAUCCUGGCUCAGGAUGAACGCUGGCGGCGUGCUUAACACAUGCAAGUCGAACGAAGCGCCUUAUUUGAUUUUCUUCGGAACUGAAGAUUUGGUGACUGAGUGGCGGACGGGUGAGUAACGCGUGGGUAACCUGCCCUGUACAGGGGGAGUAACAAAUCAGAAAUAGACUGCUAAUAACCGCCAUAAGACCACAGCACCGCAUGGUGCAGGGGUAAAAACGUACCGGUGGUACAGGAUGGACCCGCGUCUGAUUAGCUGGUUGGUGAGGUAACGGCUCACCAAGGCGACGAUCAGUAGCCGGCUUGAGAGAGUGAACGGCCACAUUGGGACGUGAGACACGGCCCGAAACU